GAGAAAGGGCCCCUGGUGGAAAGCAUAAGCCCCUGCCUAUCGUGUGUCUUUUCCAAGCAGAAGGGGAGUUUUGCCCUAAGAUGGGAUGAGGUGCAGGCGUGGCUGCUGGAAUUCUCUUGUGGGAGCGCUGAAGGAAUCAAUGUGUUUGGGGAAACUGUGUGACCAGCAGGUGAGGAACAGGACAAUGGCGACCCAGCCAGGCUGUGGGUGUGACAGGCCUCUGAUUAAUAGGACUGUCCAAUAAGCCCCCAGCCCCCAGGAAGAAGAUUAAUGACAUUUGAUGUGAACUCUGACCUCCCGCGGCAAGAGCAGAGGGAGAAAAGGGAGCCGCUCAGACAGAAUGGUGCAUCCUGCAGCCGUUGAUUGAUUCCUGAAGGCUUUGUUACCUGGAGGUGGUGUGUCUCGGGAGGGGGCCUGAGCAUCUUGUUGCCUGCUCAUGGGCUUUGACUGGAACCCCAGCCUAGCAGGAUUUUACAGUUUACACCUCUCCCAAAGACCAGCCUUUUAACUGCUCCCCGGAACACUGUGUCUGAAAAGUAACAACCUCCAGAGCCUUGGCCAACCCCUGCUGACCUGUCAUCUUCAACCUAUGGGAUCACUUUGACCCCUCCCCAACCCCAGUGCUAGGAAUCAAAUGAAGGAGGCUUUAAAAGCCAGGCUCCGCUCGGUGCUGUUGGCUCACGCCUGUAAUCCCAGCACUUUGGGAGGCUGAGGCGGGCGGAUCACCUGAGGUCAGGAGUUCGAGACCAGCCUGACCAACAUGACGAAACCCCAUCUCUACUAAAAAUACAAAAUUAGCCAGGCGUGGUGGCACAUGCCUGUAAUCCCAGCUACUCAGGAGGCUGAGGCAGGAGAAUUGCUUGAAUCCAGGAGGCGAAGGUUGCGGUGAGCUGAGAUUGCACCAUUGCACUCCAGCCUGGGCAACAAGAGUGAAAUUCUGUCUCAAAAAAAAAAAGAGAAAAGAAAAAUAAAGCCAGGC
rnacentral:lncRNA from 10 species